rnacentral:tRNA from 1 species
AAUUAGAUAGUGUAUAUAAAAUAUUAAAUUGCAAGUUUAAAGAAGAAUUAACUCUAAU